rnacentral:rRNA from 1 species
CCUACGGGAGACAGCAGUGAGGAAUAUUGGUCAAUGGUCGGAAGCCUGAACCAGCCAAGCCGCGUGAGGGAUGAAGGGCCUAAGUAUCGUAAACCUCUUUUGUCGGGGAACAAAGGCGGGGACGCGUCCCCGGAUGAGUGUACCUGAGGAAAAAGCAUCGGCUAACUCCGUGCCAGCAGGCGCGGUAAUACGGAGGAUGCGAGGGUUAUCCGGAUGUAUUGGGUUUAAGGGGUGCGCAGGCGGUCUGUUAAGUCAGCGGUCAAAGCCCGGGGCUCAACCCCGGCCCGCCGUUGAAACUGGGAGGCUCGAGUGGGAGAGAAGCAUGCGGAAUGCGUGGUGUAGCGGUGAAAUGCAUAGAUAUCGCGCAGAACUCCGAUUGCGAAGGCAGCAUGCCGGCUCCACACUGACGCUGAGGCACGAAAGCGUGGGUAUCGAACAGGAUUAGAUACCCGUGUAGUC